UUGAUCAUGGCUCAGAAUCAACGCUGGCGGCGUGCCUCAGACAUGCAAGUCGAACGAUUAAAGCUCCCUUCGGGGAGUGCAUAGAGUGGCGCACGGGUGAGUAACACGUAAGUAAUCUACCCUCGGGUGGGGAAUAACGUUCGGAAACGAACGCUAAUACCGCAUAAUGCAGCGGCACCGCAAGGUGACAGUUGUUAAAGAUUUAUUGCCUGGGGAGGAGCUUGCGGCAGAUUAGCUUGUUGGUAAGGUAACGGCUUACCAAGGCUACGAUCUGUAUCCGGUCUAAGAGGACGGUCGGACACACUGACACUGAAUAACGGGUCAGACUCCUACGGGAGGCAGCAGUCGGGAAUUUUGGGCAAUGGGGGAAACCCUGACCCAGCAACGCCGCGUGAAGGAUGAAGUAUUUCGGUAUGUAAACUUCGAAAGAAUAGGAAGAAUUAAUGACGGUACUAUUUAUAAGGUCCGGCUAACUACGUGCCAGCAGCCGCGGUAAUACGUAGGGACCAAGCGUUGUUCGGAUUUACUGGGCGUAAAGGGCGCGUAGGCGGCGCGGUAAGUCACUUGUGAAAUCUCCGGGCUUAACUCGGAACGGCCAAGUGAAACUGUGGAGCUAGAGUGUGGAAGGGGCAAUCGGAAUUCUUGGUGUAGCGGUGAAAUGCGUAGAUAUCAAGAGGAACACCUGAGGUGAAGACGGGG
rnacentral:rRNA from 1 species